rnacentral:rRNA from 1 species
CGUAGGUGGCAGCGUUGUCCGGAUUAUUGGGUUUAAAGGGUGCGUAGGUGGUUGCUAAGUCAGUGGUGAAGCUGGUUGCUCAACAAUCAAGUUGCCAUUGAUACUGUCAGACUUGAGAGAAGUGGAGGCUCAUGGAAUGGAUGGUGUAGCGGUGAAAUGCAUAGAUAUCAUCCAGAACGUCGAUUGCGAAGGCAGUGGGCUGUACUUUUUACUGACGACUGAAGGCACGAAAGCGUGGGGAUCAAACAGGAUU